AUUGAACGCUGGCGGCAGGCCUAACACAUGCAAGUCGAACGAGUGGCGGACUGGUGAGUAAUGUCUGGGAAACUGCCUGAUGGAGGGGGAUAACUACUGGAAACGGUAGCUAAUACCGCAUACCAUCGGAUGUGCCCAGAUGGGAUUAGCUAGGAGGUGGGGUAAAGGCUCCUCUAGGCGACGAUCCCUAGCUGGUCUGAGAGGAUUACCAGGCACACCUGAAAUGGGACAAGGGCCAGGCUUCUAAGGGGGGGAACAGUGGGGAAAAUGGCAGAAGGGGCGGAAGGCGGAUGCAGCCAUGGCGGGGUGAUGAAGAAAGCCUUCGGGUUGGAAAGUACCUUUAGCGGGGAAGCGUUAACCGCAGAAGAAGGACCGGGUAACUCCGGGCCAGCCGCCGGGGUAAUAC
rnacentral:rRNA from 1 species